GGAAACCGGUGCGGGCGUGUCAUACGGUGCUACCAUGCAGUCGAACGAUGAACACUUCGGUGGGGAUUAGUGGCGAACGGGUGAGUAACACGUGGGCAAUCUGCCCUGCACUCUGGGACAAGCCCUGGAAACGGGGUCUAAUACCGGAUACUGAUCCUCGCAGGCAUCUGCGAGGUUCGAAAGCUCCGGCGGUGCAGGAUGAGCCCGCGGCCUAUCAGCUAGUUGGUGAGGUAACGGCUCACCAAGGCGACGACGGGUAGCCGGCCUGAGAGGGCGACCGGCCACACUGGGACUGAGACACGGCCCACACUCCUACGGGAGGCAGCAGUGGGGAAUAUUGCACAGUGGGCGAAAGCCUGAUGCAGCGACGCCGCGUGAGGGAUGACGGCCUUCGGGUUGUAAACCUCUUUCAGCAGGGAAGAAGCGAAAGUGACGGUACCUGCAGAAGAAGCGCCGGCUAACUACGUGCCAGCAGCCGCGGUAAUACGUAGGGCGCAAGCGUUGUCCGGAAUUAUUGGGCGUAAAGAGCUCGUAGGCGGCUUGUCACGUCGGUUGUGAAAGCCCGGGGCUUAACCCCGGGUCUGCAGUCGAUACGGGCAGGCUAGAGUUCGGUAGGGGAGAUCGGAAUUCCUGGUGUAGCGGUGAAAUGCGCAGAUAUCAGGAGGAACACCGGUGGCGAAGGCGGAUCUCUGGGCCGAUACUGACGCUGAGGAGCGAAAGCGUGGGGAGCGAACAGGAUUAGAUACCCUGGUAGUCCACGCCGUAAACGGUGGGCACUAGGUGUGGGCAACAUUCCACGUUGUCCGUGCCGCAGCUAACGCAUUAAGUGCCCCGCCUGGGGAGUACGGCCGCAAGGCUAAAACUCAAAGGAAUUGACGGGGGCCCGCACAAGCGGCGGAGCAUGUGGCUUAAUUCGACGCAACGCGAAGAACCUUACCAAGGCUUGACAUACACCGGAAAACCCUGGAGACAGGGUCCCCCUUGUGGUCGGUGUACAGGUGGUGCAUGGCUGUCGUCAGCUCGUGUCGUGAGAUGUUGGGUUAAGUCCCGCAACGAGCGCAACCCUUGUCCCGUGUUGCCAGCAGGCCCUUGUGGUGCUGGGGACUCACGGGAGACCGCCGGGGUCAACUCGGAGGAAGGUGGGGAGGACGUCAAGUCAUCAUGCCCCCUAUGUCUUGGGCUGCACACGUGCUACAAUGGCCGGUACAAUGAGCUGCGAUACCGCGAGGUGGAGCGAAUCUCAAAAAGCCGGUCUCAGUUCUGGAUUGGGGUCUGCAACUCGACCCCACGAAGUCGGAGUCGCUAGUAAUCGCAGAUCAGCAUCGCUGCGGUGAAUACGUUCCCGGGCCUUGUACACACCGCCCGUCACGUCACGAAAGUCGGUAACACCCGAAGCCGGUGGCCCAACCCCUUCUGCAGGGAGCGUUGAAGUGACGGUACGGUGGAGCGGGCGAAGGGG
rnacentral:rRNA from 1 species